rnacentral:rRNA from 1 species
ACGAACGCUGGCGGCGUGCUUAACACAUGCAAGUCGAACGGAAAGGCCAGUGCUUGCACUGGUACUCGAGUGGCGAACGGGUGAGUAACACGUGGGUGAUCUGCCUUGCACUCUGGGAUAAGCUUGGGAAACUGGGUCUAAUACCGGAUAGGAACCGUCUUUAGUGUGGUGGUUGGAAAGUUUUUUCGGUGCAAGAUGAGCUCGCGGCCUAUCAGCUUGUUGGUGGGGUAAUGGCCUACCAAGGCGUCGACGGGUAGCCGGCCUGAGAGGGUGUACGGCCACAUUGGGACUGAGAUACGGCCCAGACUCCUACGGGAGGCAGCAGUGGGGAAUAUUGCACAAUGGGCGGAAGCCUGAUGCAGCGACGCCGCGUGGGGGAUGACGGCCUUCGGGUUGUAAACUCCUUUCGACAGGGACGAAGCGCAAGUGACGGUACCUGUAUAAGAAGCACCGGCUAACUACGU